CUCACUACCAAAUAGGCUGCCAAUCUCACUGUCACACCCACACGUUUCAGGUUGUGCUGCUGCUUCAUCAGGGACUAAUAGGUGGUACGCUGCACACAUGGUGGCCACAGUGCUGACAGCAAUAUUUCAAGGUUCAAUAUCGGUAUUGAUUUUUACUAAGACGGGAUUUCCUUGGGCAAUUGAAGUCAUAUGUAAGGGAAGAAGAUAGCGAGGUGAUAUUGAAGCUCGCUGGUGGAUUGUGUGUGAUGAUUUUCUGCUUGGAGUGGGUGGUGCUUACUCUUGCAUUUUUCUUGAAGUACUAUGCUUAUGUGGAGGGUGAUGGUAGUAGCGGCAAUCCUACUGCUAUGAAGAGGACUGCUAAGGUGCAGCAAGAGGACCUGAAAGAUUGUCAAUGGCGUUUCCAAGUAUAAAUUUAUACCAUAUGGAUCUGGUUAUGGGGUUGACGGUAUUUACUGUGGUGCUGCUGCCACAUUAAUCUGUUCUCUUUUUCUUUUCUUUUUCGUUUUUCAUUUUUUCAUUCAAUUAUUAUUAUUAUUACUUUUUUUUGCCCUAUGGGAUUGAUUUGAUCAUAUGAGGAGACUGUGCAAAAGUUCCUUCGCAUGAUUUCAAUGCUGCAAGAUAUUGGAUAGUAUGCUAUUUCAAUAUGAAAUUCUCUUCCUUUCUUCCAAGGCACUAUCACCUUUUUUUUUUUUUUU
rnacentral:misc_RNA from 1 species